AUACGUAGGGGGCAAGCGUUAUCCGGAAUCACUGGGCGUAAAGGGUGCGUAGGCGGCCAGUCAAGUCUGAGGUGAAAGGCUACGGCUUAACCGUAGAAAGCCUUGGAAACUGGUUGGCUUGAGUGCAGGAGAGGAGAGUGGAAUUCCUAGUGUAGCGGUGAAAUGCGUAGAUAUUAGGAGGAACACCAGUGGCGAAGGCGACUCUCUGGACUGUAACUGACGCUGAGGCACGAAAGCGUGGGGAGCAAACAGGAUUAGAUACCCUGGUAGUCCACGCUGUAAACGAUGAGUGCUAGGUGUUGGAGCCGACAGGCUUCGGUGCCGCAGCUAACGCAUUAAGCACUCCGCCUGGGGAGUACGGUCGCAAGACUGAA
rnacentral:rRNA from 1 species